UACGAAGGGGGCUAGCGUUGCUCGGAAUCACUGGGCGCAAAGGGUGCGUAGGCGGGUUUUUAAGUCAGAGGUGAAAUCCUGGAGCUCAACUCCAGAACUGCCUUUGAUACUGGGAAUCUUGAGUAUGGAAGAGGUGAGUGGAACUGCGAGUGUAGAGGUGAAAUUCGUAGAUAUUCGCAAGAACACCAGUGGCGAAGGCGGCUCACUGGUCCAUAACUGACGCUGAGGCACGAAAGCGUGGGGAGCAAACAGG
rnacentral:rRNA from 1 species